rnacentral:lncRNA from 1 species
GCUCAAUGCUUUUUCUAACACAACAGAGAGGCUGUACGGUGUAUACAUGUUGAAAAAUCGCAAAAUUCUAAACACGUAGCGUGUCAGUGGUGGCUAUAGCUACGUCCGAACUACAUACAGCCUUGAACAAUUAAUUGUAACUGGGAAAAUUCAAAAUUCCUCUCUUGGGUCGGGUCGUGCUGCAGACAAACUGGGCAGCCACGCCAAACGGGUCUUUCGGGCUCAAAAAUUUCAUCCAUUGCUGCUUACCCACAUCAUAUCCUCGUAGUAGUUAAAACUCGAGACAGUGCGCGGUCGUGCAAAACGUACCUACUAGGUAUUAUGAUAUAUGUUGCUAGGGGGGAAAACUCUGCGGCACUGUCGUCAAGGUUGCUGGUAGUGAAUUCUUAGUGGCGGUUGAGUUCCACAUGCUCGGCCUGAGCUCCGCUCAACAUGAUUAACUCGAACUGGUACAUAGCACAUCUUGAUAAUCAGACGAUGAUUGGAGGAUCUGUCCUGUGAUACUAUCUGAGCAAAUUUUGGUGUUUGCAAGUUGCCACGGUUGACCUAGAGUUUAAUGUUUUGUUACCGUUUGAUAGAUACGAACCAGAUUCAAUCC